rnacentral:rRNA from 1 species
AGGACGAACGCUGGCGGCGUGCCUAACACAUGCAAGUCGAACGCGCUCCAUUCGGUAGCAAUACUGAUGAAGAGCGAGUGGCGAACGGGUGAGUAGCACGUGAGCAACCUGCCCCGAAGACUGGGACAACACCGGGAAACCGGUGCUAAUACCGGAUAUCCCUAUUGGAUCGCAUGAUCCGAUAAGGAAAUGUUUUUCGCUUCGGGAGGGGCUCGCGGCCUAUCAGCUAGUUGGUGGGGUAACGGCCCACCAAGGCAUCGACGGGUAGCUGGUCUGAGAGGACGAUCAGCCACACUGGGACUGAGACACGGCCCAGACUCCUACGGGAGGCAGCAGUGGGGAAUCUUGCGCAAUGGGCGAAAGCCUGACGCAGCAACGCCGCGUGGAGGACGAAGGCUUUCUGAGUUGUAAACUCCUUUCAGCAGGGACGAUUGUGACGGUACCUGCAGAAGAAGCACCGGCCAACUACGUGCCAGCAGCCG